rnacentral:snRNA from 1 species
GGAUAUGAGAGCAAUCUGGCUGCAACAUCCGUCACCCCACUGAUCGCCAGGGUUGAUUCGGCUGACCUGGCUGGCUAGUGGGUGUCCCCUUCCUCCCUCACCACUCCUUGUGCAGCCCUCCGGAAGCUACACGAUCUGCCUAAGAGGAUGAUCAUCUCCGAUAGGGGAGGACUGGUCUCCGGCCAAGGGUAUCCAAGUAGCUGCACUCUCCUGCCAGAACCUCCAAACAAGUUAUCAAGGAAGUAGGAAGAGAGAAAAAGAGAAAAAGAAGGGAGAGAAGGAAGGAAGGAAUAAAAUAAGGAAGGAAAUAUU